UUAUUAUGCUCUGUGUUGAAGUCCCAUACUGUGACCUAUAACUGUAUAAUUGCUUACAUCAACAACAUUAUGUCUGGAGAGUUGUUUCAUUAGCAAUCAUACCACGGCUUCUUGUGUUUAAAAUCAAUAAAUUGGUUUGCAAUAGAAAAAUUUUGACCUAAAAUUUCUGUUUAAAAACUUUCUUGUAUGUUUUCUGUUCAAUCUGAACUUGUUUGUGUUGUUUUCUGUUCACACUGAAAAAACAUUUACUGACUACAUUGCAUCACAUUGAUUUCAAUUAAAAAACAAGAAAAUAUUUACUGUUUAAUCUACAUUAUUCUCUCAAAAUGAUACAUCAAUUGGUAUUAUAUAUGUAUUUAAUAGUUUUCUUAAAUUUUGAAUGUUUAUAAUUGGCACUAUUUUUCCAUUGUCCUUCCUAGAGCUCGAACAGUCAAAUGGUUUCCAUAUCUGAAAAAAAGUUAUAGCAAUUAAUUACUGAAUAAAAAAUCUUCACAAAUAAAUUUUAAUACCAAAAACAAUUUGUAUAAGAAAGAAAAAUUGUUAAAUGUAUUUGUAGAAUUUAAUAGAGGAUAAUCCUCAAUCUUAAGCCUGUUGUACAAAUUGUCUUAAAUGUGUAGGUGUGUAUUAUCUCUAGUGCAUGCCUUAGUAUUUUUUUUUUAAUAUAUUUUAUACAUCUUCAUCAGUUCAAAUAUUUAACUAGAAAACAUUUUAUUUAUCCUAACAGGCAACUGAUCAUGAUGUAUCCUCCAUAACAUCUACGGCAGACAAAUUAACCAUGAUUCAAACUGCCACUCACACCAUGGAAACCAUGACAAAAAGAAUGACCUUUACAGUAUCGGAAGAACAGGUGUCUUCUUCAAAGGCAGCAGACAAGACUGCUACGUAUACUUAUACUGAUAAUCAAUCCUUAGGCUUGGAUGAUGAAAGAU